rnacentral:tRNA from 1 species
GGGGUGGUAGUUCAGCUGGUUAGAACGCCUGCCUGUCACGCAGGAGGUCGAGGGUUCGAGUCCCUUCCAUCCCG